rnacentral:tRNA from 1 species
AAAGUUAAUUAUAUUUUUGUAUAUUUUAUUGUCGUUAAAAAGGGUUAAACUUUUUG